rnacentral:rRNA from 1 species
GUAGUUAGCCGGGGCUUCCUCCUCAGAUACCGUCACUUCCUUCGUCUCUGAGGACAGAGGUUUACAACCCGAAAACCUUCUUCCCUCACGCGGCGUUGCUGGGUCAGGCUUUCGCCCAUUGCCCAAUAUUCCCCACUGCUGCCUCCCGUAGGAGUCUGGACCGUGUCUCAGUUCCAGUGUGGCCGUUCAGCCUCUCAGCUCGGCUACCCAUCGUCGGCUUGGUGGGCUGUUAUCUCACCAACUACCUAAUGGGACGCGAACCCCUCCUUUAGCGGAUUGCUCCUUUGACCCCUUCGCCAUGUGGCAUUGUGGUCUUAUGCGGUAUUAAUCUUCCUUUCGGAAGGCUAUUCCCCUCUAUGAGGCAGGUUUACCCCACGUGUUACUCACCCGUCCGCCGCUAAUCCACUUUCCGAAGAAAGCUUCAUCGCUCGACUUGCAUGUGUUAAGCACGCCGCCAGCGUUCGUCCUGAGCCAUGAUCAAACUCUGA